rnacentral:rRNA from 1 species
CCUACGGGGGGCAGCAGUGAGGAAUAUUGGUCAAUGGGGGGAACCCUGAUGCAGCGACGCCGCGUGGGUGAAGGAGUGCUUCGGCAUGUAAAGCCCUAUCGGCAGGGAAGAAGCAAGACGGUACCUGACUAAGAAGCCCCGGCUAACUACGUGCCAGCAGCCGCGGUAAUACGUAGGGGGCGAGCGUUAUCCGGAUUCACUGGGUGUAAAGGGAGCGUAGACGGCCAUGCAAGCCAGGGGUGAAAGCCCGGGGCCCAACCCCGGGACUGCCCUUGGAACUGGGCGGCUAGAGUGCGGGAGGGGCAGGCGGAAUUCCUGGUGUAGCGGUGAAAUGCGUAGAUAUCAGGAGGAACACCGGCGGCGAAGGCGGCCUGCUGGACCGCGACUGACGUUGAGGCUCGAAAGCGUGGGGAGCGAACAGGAUUAGAUACCCUGGUAGUC